rnacentral:rRNA from 1 species
CAGCCGCCGCGGUAAUACCGGCGGCCCGAGUGGCGGUCACUAUUAUUGGGCUUAAAGCGUCCGUAGCCGGGUUGGGAAGUCCUCCGGGAAAUCUGGCCGCUUAACGGUCAGAAUGCCGGAGGAUACUCCCAGCCUAGGGAGCGGGAGAGGCCGAGGGGAUUCCCGGAGUAGGGGGGAAAUCCUAUAAUCCCGGGAGGACCACCUGGGGCGAAGGCGCUCGGCUGGAACGCGUCCGACGGUGAGGGACGAAGGCCAGGGGAGCAAACCGGAUUAGAUACCCGGGUAGUCCUGGCUGUAAACGAUGCGGACUUUGUGUCGGACAAGCUAUGAGCUUGUCCGGUGCCGGAGGGAAACCGUUAAGUCCGCCGCCUGGGGAGUACGGCCGCAAGGCUGAAACUUAAAGGAAUUGGCGGG